CGGGGUGUAGCCUAGUGGUUUAAGGCGCACGUCUAGGGGGCGUGAGAUCCCGGGUUCGAAUCCCGGCACCCCGA
rnacentral:tRNA from 1 species